CCUCUUCAUCUCCGCUAUUCGAGGUCGACGCACAAUUUGAGUUCCGAAAGCGUUGAUUUCUUCACCACAGUCGAUAACGAAAUCUAGGGUUCAUCUUAUUCUUUGAUGAUCUUCACCAACAAUGGAGUUUCAGGAGGAUGCGUGAGUUGAACGGUCUUGAAGAAUUCUAUAAGAAGCUUCGAUUGCGUCUUUACGCCUUCCUUUCUAAUCCUUCGAAACGUUAGAGGUUAUUAAUUCAUUGCUUUAACAGACCUCUUAAUACCAUCAACCCACAUCGAGCACGAUCUGAGAUUGAUGCAUCUUAUCCCUCUGCAAGUCGGUCUCUCUGUAAGCCCUCUUUCCUUAAACACCAUCCUCUCAAUCCGUGAUAGCACCAAAGUUAAUUUAUUCUGUGAAGGCCGGCCAACUCACUAAUUCCUCUUCAUUAAUGGCUUCUCGAGCUGCGACACAAGAAGCUGCGAUGAACGGAGUCCUCAUCGGUUCGGAUCAGCCUUAAGGACGAAGGAGUCGCGGAGAUCUCCGAUUCCGUGCCUCUCAUUCCUCCUCCCGAGAUUACGCUCAUCAUGUUUAUUUGUGCUUAGAUAGAGGAGCAUUAUGUGGCUAUGUGAGGAGAUGGAGUUGAGUUGAGGAUGAUAGCUCUUAUAGAUUUAGAUGUUCUACGGUUCGUCAGAUUUUUCAAUCGAUAGAAGGUUUUUGUCUAUUUUGCAGAUAAUCAUGGGAAUUUUUUAUUUUUAAUUCUCGGUUUGAUAAUUUAAGAAGUGACAUAAAAUCUACAGUAAAUUGGGGUAUUUUUUUUAAUUUUGCCCAUGUUAAAUUGAUGUUCUUAUCUAUUACCAAAACUGAGUUUCCAUCUCCUUUGCUGCUUAGGUCAUAAUUUUUGUGGGCUACAGGUUUAUAGUUUUUUGUCAAGUGUAAGUGUGGAUGGAUAUUAAGUUUACCCACGGUUUUCCGGUGUAUGAUAGUCAGCUCAAUCGACGAUGAAGACGAAGAGUAUGCAUAUUGAACGACUGUGAACAUUGGAGGUCACGUGUCAAUGGCAUUCUCUAUACGACCAAGGUCCAUCAGAUGAUCACCGCUACAGCUCAACCCUGCCGCCAUAGCCGCUGAAUCCUCUCAACACCAUCUUAACCUCUUGGCCUCAGCCUCUUCAGUCGCCACUACAACCGCCGUGACCGCGAGUAAUAUUAAUACUGCAUCAGUUGACCUUUCUUCGGUUUACACUGCAGCAGCGGCUCCGAUCAUCUCUUUCAUCAGCCCCGAGGACUACGAAGCAGUUCGCAGCUGAAGAGAGCUCAAGAGAGAGAGUGCAUAAUCCCUAAACGGUAACACUUUUGAAAUCCCAGUACUCUACAUUUCUGAUUUUUGGUUUUCUUGCACAUUGGGAGCUACUAAAGGAAAGUAUUCAUCGAUGUGGGUACUGGAAAAGGAAGUAUUGUAACAAGAUGGUUUGUUAACAAUUACCCAACAAGGAAUAUGAAGUUUGAGAUGUACAAGAUUGAAACGGUAACAAUGAGAUGAGCCUCGAACCUGAAAAUAUGGGGAUGAAGGAGUGGCUGAAAGAGAAUGUAAAAGAGGAGGAAUAUGUGGUAAUGAAGACAGAGGUUGAGGUGUUGGAGGAGAUGAUGAGGAGCAAGACGAUAAAAUGGUGGAUAAGCUUUGCUUGGAAUGCAAGCCAAUGGGUACUAGGGCUAAGGGGAAGGAACAUGGAGACAGACGUAAGAGAGAAUAUCUAUCAAACCAUGCGUUUUUUUUUCUUUACAUUAUCUGUUUUUUUUUCUUCCGUUUUGUUGUUAGAAUUGUUUUA